UACGGGGGGAGCAAGCGUUGUUCGGAUUUACUGGGCGUAAAGGGCGCGUAGGCGGUCAGCACAAGUCAGUUGUGAAAUCUCCGGGCUUAACUCGGAAAGGUCAACUGAUACUGUGCGACUAGAGUGCGGAAGGGGCAACUGGAAUUCCUAGUGUAGAGGUGAAAUUCGUAGAUAUUAGGAAGAACACCAGUGGCGAAGGCGGCUCACUGGCCCGGUACUGACGCUGAGGCGCGAAAGCGUGGGGAGCAAACAGG
rnacentral:rRNA from 1 species